GCCAGUGUGGCAUAGUGGUUUUAGUGUUGGACUAUAACACUAGAGACCAGGGUUCGAUUCCCAACUUGCU
rnacentral:tRNA from 1 species